CAGUCGUACCGGCGGGUAAUCAGCCUUUCGGGUAUGAUUCUGUGGAGUGUGGGGAGCUAAACACCCUCAUGCCUGCAUAUUCGUGUACUUUUGGGUGUACUUGCCUGUGCGGUUAGUUAACAUCAAUUUUGGUUAUCAUAAAAUGGUUGGAGGAAUGUAGCUUCGAUCUCGUAUUGAAGUGUUAUAGCCUUCGGCAGAUGUGAUGAUCGAGAUUGAGGUAUUGACAACGGAUACCCUUCGUGGGCUUACCUGUCUGAUCUCUGAUCG
rnacentral:rRNA from 1 species